rnacentral:lncRNA from 1 species
UCCUUUCUUAAUAUUUCUCUCAUUCAUUCAUUCCCUUCCAAUCUCACUCAAAAUGAAUUCAAAUUUUACAACAACACACACACGCAGAGUAAUUAUUGUAAGAAAUGGUGAUGGCGAGGGCAAGCUCUGGCCCCACAUCCCAAGCGAUUCUAUGCAGCUCUCUACCAACAGGUUCCCUCUCCAAUUCUCCAUCUCCAUUCCCGGAUCCAAUGCCUUUCCUUCUAAUUGAAUUGAAUUCACCAUAUUGUUUGUUGUGACAGUGGUGAUUGUUUGUUGUGAUAGCAACAAUGGCGAAAGGAAAUAAUUUUGCCGUGUAUGUGUAUGGGUCUGUGUUUGGUUAAUUUCUGGGUUCAAUUUCUGGGUUUGCUGUGGUUGAUUUUUCCUUAUGGUUUCGGUUUGCUAUGGUUGAAUGGGUUGCCUUCUCAUGGGUUUUGGUUUACAGAGGUUCCAGUGAAAUUAACAGAGCAUGGGAGGUUGCAGUGAAAUACCCGGCUUCUAACCAUUUACAGAGCAUGGUUGCAGUGAAAUAAUAGAUAAACAAGGGAAAAAAAAUUACCUGGAAGAUGAAAGAUGCUUGCAGUUGGUCUGCGUGAAUUAUUUGGGAGAGAUUUGGUUUAUUGAGACAAAGAAAGGAAAGUGUUUUCCGGUUUUAAGAACAAGAAAACACUUUCCUACGCUAACGUUUUAAUUUUUCCGUUGACUGGAAUUGAGUUUCCUUUGACUGAUUUUCCUUGUGCUUGCCAAACAUGGGAAAAUGGGAAAAGUGGUUUCCAGGAAAAUGCAUUCCUGGAAACAAACAAG